rnacentral:rRNA from 1 species
GGGACACGUGGUAUCCUGUCUGAAUAUGGGGGGACCAUCCUCCAAGGCUAAAUACUCCUGACUGACCGAUAGUGAACCAGUACCGUGAGGGAAAGGCGAAAAGAACCCCGGCGAGGGGAGUGAAAAAGAACCUGAAACCGUGUACGUACAAGCAGUGGGAGCACGCUUAGGCGUGUGACUGCGUACCUUUUGUAUAAUGGGUCAGCGACUUAUAUUCUGUAGCAAGGUUAACCGAAUAGGGGAGCCGAAGGGAAACCGAGUCUUAACUGGGCGUUAAGUUGCAGGGUAUAGACCCGAAACCCGGUGAUCUAGCCAUGGGCAGGUUGAAGGUUGGGUAACACUAACUGGAGGACCGAACCGACUAAUGUUGAAAAAUUAGCGGAUGACUUGUGGCUGGGGGUGAAAGGCCAAUCAAACCGGGAGAUAGCUGGUUCUCCCCGAAAGCUAUUUAGGUAGCGCCUCGUGAAUUCAUCUCCGGGGGUAGAGCACUGUUUCGGCAAGGGGGUCAUCCCGACUUACCAACCCGAUGCAAACUGCGAAUACCGGAGAAUGUUAUCACGGGAGACACACGGCGGGUGCUAACGUCCGUCGUGAAGAGGGAAACAACCCAGACCGCCAGCUAAGGUCCCAAAGUCAUGGUUAAGUGGGAAACGAUGUGGGAAGGCCCAGACAGCCAGGAUGUUGGCUUAGAAGCAGCCAUCAUUUAAAGAAAGCGUAAUAGCUCACUGGUCGAGUCGGCCUGCGCGGAAGAUGUAACGGGGCUAAACCAUGCACCGAAGCUGCGGCAGCGACGCUUAUGCGUUGUUGGGUAGGGGAGCGUUCUGUAAGCCUGCGAAGGUGUGCUGUGAGGCAUGCUGGAGGUAUCAGAAGUGCGAAUGCUGACAUAAGUAACGAUAAAGCGGGUGAAAAGCCCGCUCGCCGGAAGACCAAGGGUUCCUGUCCAACGUUAAUCGGGGCAGGGUGAGUCGACCCCUAAGGCGAGGCCGAAAGGCGUAGUCGAUGGGAAACAGGUUAAUAUUCCUGUACUUGGUGUUACUGCGAAGGGGGGACGGAGAAGGCUAUGUUGGCCGGGCGACGGUUGUCCCGGUUUAAGCGUGUAGGCUGGUUUUCCAGGCAAAUCCGGAAAAUCAAGGCUGAGGCGUGAUGACGAGGCACUACGGUGCUGAAGCAACAAAUGCCCUGCUUCCAGGAAAAGCCUCUAAGCAUCAGGUAACAUCAAAUCGUACCCCAAACCGACACAGGUGGUCAGGUAGAGAAUACCAAGGCGCUUGAGAGAACUCGGGUGAAGGAACUAGGCAAAAUGGUGCCGUAACUUCGGGAGAAGGCACGCUGAUAUGUAGGUGAAGUGAUUUACU